UACGAAGGGUGCAAGCGUUACUCGGAAUUACUGGGCGUAAAGGCGUGACGUAGGUGGUUCGGUUAAGUCUGUCGUGAAAGCCCCCGGCUACAACUGGGGGAGGGUCACGCGUAUACUGAUCGAACUCGAAGGCAGGAGAGGGUGAGUGGAAUUCCCGGUGUAGUGGUGAAAAUGCGCAGAUAUCGAGGAGGAACACCAGCGGCGGAAGGCGGCGCUCGUGGCUGGAACUGACGCUGAGGAGCGAAAGCGUGGGGAGCGAACAGG
rnacentral:rRNA from 1 species